GGAUUCGCCAGUCCCCACACACACGCGCAUGCACACUCCCCUUUAAUAAGCGAGCGAAAACGGAAAACAAAGCUCUUUACUGCGCAGUUGAUCACUGUUCCCUCGGUAUCGAUGUCCUUCCGUCUAAUCCUCUUUGGCGUUCUGGUUGGAAUCGUUAGCCUGACACGGCGUCUAUCCAGACUAAUGGCGGACGAAACAAGUCAUAGUAGCAGGAGAAGGGACUCUGUACCUCCUCCUCGUCGGAGUCGGAGGUUAUGCACAACUUGUCGAUUUGCAGAGAUACUUAACGGCGGCGGUAGCAGUGACGAACUUCGCCGAUUGACAGAGACUCUUUUGAGCGGCGAAACUCGCACUUAUUGCGAAGGGUGUAACGGUUGCCCAUUGGUAUCACACGGGAGCGCAAUUGUGGCCGCAUUAUGCUCGUGGUGGCCCUUGUUCGAACCCGUGGCUUCGCUGUUUUUCCUGCCUUUCACCUUCUUAUUCUACAUUGUUAGGUCUCCGUUCAGAGCCAUGCGCCCUCUGUUUGUUGCCUGGAUGUUUAUCAUGACUCUUAUCACUCGCGACUCUUGAUGUGAUAUCGGAUUUGGAUUUGUAUUAGAGUGCUCUUUAAUUUUCUUUCUAAGAUCUUUUCAGGGACCAUGGAAUCCUUUGAUGACCAAGAAAGGAAAAUAUGAUUAAUACCUUUCAUUUUUGGGUAA